rnacentral:rRNA from 1 species
UACGGGGGGGGCAAGCGUUGUUCGGAAUUACUGGGCGUAAAGGGUCUGUAGGUGGCCAACUAAGUCAGACGUGAAAUCCCUCAGCUUAACUGGGGAACUGCGUCUGAGACUGGAUGGCUCGAGUGCAGGAGAGGAACGCGGAAUUCCAGGUGUAGCGGUGAAAUGCGUAGAUAUCGGAAGGAACACCAGUGGCGAAAGCGGCUUCCUGGUCCAGCACCGACGUUCAGGCACGAAAGCGUGGGGAGCAAACAGG